rnacentral:rRNA from 1 species
CCUACGGGAGGCAGCAGUCGAGAAUCAUUCACAAUGGGGGAAACCCUGAUGGUGCGACGCAGCGUGGGGGAAUGAAGGUCUUCGGAUUGUAAACCCCUGUCAUGUGGGAGCAAAUUAAAAAGAUAGUACCACAAGAGGAAGAGACGGCUAACACUGUGCCAGCAGCCGCGGUAAUACAGCGGUCUCAAGCGUUGUUCGGAAUGACUGGGCUUAAAGCGUGCGUAGGAUGUUUCGUAAGUCGUGUGUGAAAGGCGCGGGCUCAACCCGCGGACGGCACAUGAUACUGCGAGACUCGAGUAAGGGAGGGGGAACCGGAAUUCUCGGUGUAGCAGUGAAAUGCGUAGAUAUCGAGAGGAACACUCGUGGCGAAGGCGGGUUCCUGGACAUUAACUGACGCUGAGGCACGAAGGCCAGGGGAGCGAAAGGGAUUAGAUACCCGUGUAGUC